UCAGGAACGAUAUAAUUAAUGGGUAAAAGACUUUGAACAAAUUGAAAAAUCCAAGACAUUCAACAAAAAAUCCUAUGAUGGGGAAAUGAAACAACGUAAGCAAUAAUCCACUAAAGAAACUUAUGCUUCCUAACAUUCUAUCCUUACGAAGGAAGAAGCUGACGGACUUGGAGAAACCCGCUAUCAUAAAAAAACCAAAGACCAGUAAUAACUAUAUACGUAUUAGUGUUAUACAGGAAUAAUAGAGAGUUGAUAUAUGUGAGUCAAUGAAAUGAAAUGAAAGUUAAUAAUUCACGUCUAAGGACACUUCAUAUACUUAGGAUG